CGGUGAGUAGUGUAGUGGUUUGACGGUUGGACUACAACUCUUGAGCCCAGGGUUCAAUUCCCAGCUCGCCCG